rnacentral:lncRNA from 10 species
GCCGGGAGCAAGUGCACGCCGCGCGGAGGACGAAGAGGCUGCACGCACAGCCGCUGCCGGGGGUCGGGGCCAAGUGCGCGCCUCGCCGAGGACGAAGAGGCUGGCGUGCCCGGUGGCUCGGCUAGCUCCCGGGUCCCGGCCCCGCCUGGAGGAUGGAGUUCCUCUCUUGUGGCCCAGGCUGGAGUGCAAUAGCACCAUCUCGGCUCACUGCAACCUCUGCCUCCCAGGUUCAAGUGAUUCUCCUGCCUUAGCCUCCUGAGUAGCUAGGAUUACAGGUAUGCAUCACCAUGCCCGGCUAAUUUUGUAUUUUUUUUUUCUUUUGAGACAGAGUUUCGCUCUUGUUGUGUGCAAUGGCACAAUCUCGGCUCACAGCAACCUCUGCCUCCCAGGUUCAAGUGAUUCUCCUGCCUCAGCCACCUGAGUAGCUGGGAUUACAGGUGCCUGCCACCAUGCCUGGCUAACUUUUUGUAUUUUUAGUAGAGACGGGGUUUCACCAUGUUGGCCAGGCUGGUCUCAAACUCCUGACCUUAGGUGAUCCACCUGCCUCAGCCUCUGAAAAUGUUGGGAUUACAGGCAUGAACCACUGCAUCUGACUAAUUUUGUACUUUUAGUAGAGACAGGGUUUCACCAUGUUGGCCAGGGUGGUCUCUAACUCCUGACCUCAGGUGAUCUGCCCGUCUCGGCCUCCUAAAGUGCUAUUACAGGCGUGAGCUACCGUGCCCAGCCAUGGGCAUUUGGACUUCUAAUUUUUUGCUGCCAUAAGCUUUAGAGCACUGAGUAAUAUAUAAAAACAGCAAUCAUGUAGUUUUUAAAACUUAGUCUGGGGUUAAAGAAGUAUGUAAACAACUAUGUUUUCUUAAAGAUUUAUAGGAGCAUUGUGACUGGACCAAGGACAAAGAAGUUCCCAACCUCCUCAGACCCUCGCUGCUGCCCAGAUGUCUGCCAUGGGGUGGCCAUCAUCGAAUCCACUGAGGGCGCAAAUAGAACAAAAAGGUGAAGAAAAGGUGAAUUCUCUCCUUUCUUGAGCUGGGACAUCCAACUUCUCAGACAUCAGAGCUCCUGGAGGCCUUCAGACUCCGAGACAUUACACCAUUGGCUCACCUGGUCCUCAGGUCUUUGGACUUGGAAUGAAUUACACCAUUGGCUUUCCAGGUCUUCCAGCUUGCAGAUGGCAGAUUGUGGGACUUUUCAGCCUCCAUAACUUUGUCAUCCAAUUCCCAUAAUAAAUCGCCUCUUAUAUCUGUA